UAUAAAGAAAAACCCCUGGACUGAUCCUGCCAUUUCAGGUCUGCUUCAACUUUAAAGGGAAGUUCCAAGCCAUAAAACUGAGGUCUCCAGGUUUACCUUGGAUUACCCAGGGAUUCUCCUGGAAGAACUCUAGCAGACUCUACACCUGGACUGCCUUUUGGACUAUAACCCUUUACAAUGAUUCCAGAAAGACUUUUACAAAUCAGCAGCCUCAUCAACUCUGCUAUGAAACUGACCUAAGGACUUCACACAUAUCUGUAUGUGUAUUGAGCUCUUAACCAUAUGCAAUGCUUUUCUUACUGGAAGUUUGUUUAUAAGGAAUACAUGGAAAAGAGAAGGCGUAUAUGAAACUGUCUAUAUGAACAACAAGAAGAUGUCAAUAAUGCACAGAUGGGAAGAUUGUUUAUUGAGAUCUACUGAUGCAAAGCACUAUAUAAGAGCUACAACAUUACAACAGGCUGUAUCCUUCUAACUCUCCUUUGUCUGAUAAUUACAGAGAUGUUAAUUGCCCACUUCAUUUUGAAUGGUUUCUUGCAACAUCUUAACACCUAUGCUGAACCAUUUGUUUCACCUUGUAUUUAGUUGUGACCUUUCCCAGACCUGAAGAAGAGCUCUGUGGAACUUGAAA